rnacentral:lncRNA from 1 species
UUCCUUUCUCUACUUUUGAGGAUUCCAGAGUGCAGGAGCAGGUCCUCCAUUGUACCACAUGGUCCCACGUGGGGAGGAAGGAGAUACACUUCAGAUGACUUGUACCACAUGCUUUGACCAAAGUGGCUGCAUCAGGAACAUGCUAGUCCAAAUCGCUUUUGCUCUGUUUGCUUCAAAGCAGAGUGGAAGGGGGUGAUGGCUCCAGCAGCAGCACCUGCAGUGCAGGACAGAAGGCAGGGUCACCCCUUGAUGUUCGGCUCCAUGGGAACGGGGAGCUGGC